rnacentral:rRNA from 1 species
UGAUGACGAGACGCUAAGGCGUUGAAGCAGUGUAUGUCAGACUUCCAAGGAAAGCUCGCAAUGUCACAAGUAAAAAAUGCCUGUACCAUAACCGACACAGGUGGGUAGGUAGAGUAUACUAAGGGGCGCGAGAUAACUCUCUCUAAGGAACUCGGCAAAAUGACUCCGUAACUUCGGGAGAAGGAGUGCCUUAUUUAUAAGGUUGCAAUAACAAGAUCCAAGCAACUGUUUAUCAAAAACACAGGUCUCCGCUAAGUCGUAAGACGAUGUAUGGGGGCUGACGCCUGCCCAGUGCCAGAAGGUUAAAGAAGUUGGUUAGUGUAUGCGAAGCUGAUGACUGAAGCCCUGGUGAACGGCGGCCGUAACAAUAACGGUCCUAAGGUAGCGAAAUUCCUUGUCGGGUAAGUUCCGACCCGCACGAAAGGCGUAAUGAUUUGGAUACUGUCUCGGAGAGAGGCUCGGUGAAAUAGACUUGUCUGUGAAGAUGCGGACUACCUGCACCAGGACAGAAAGACCCUAUGAAGCUUUACUGUAACUUGAAAUUGGAAUUGGACUUUGCUUGCGCAGUAUAGGUGGGAAGCGUUGAAAAUACUCUUGCGGGAGUAUUGGAGCUAUCAGUGAGAUACCACUCUUGUAAUGUUAGAUUUCUAACUUUGAACCAUAAUCUGGUCAAAGAACAGUUUCAGGUGGGCAGUUUGACUGGGGCGGUCGCCUCCCAAAUGGUAACGGAGGCGUACAAAGGUUUCCUCUGAACGGAUAGAAAUCGUAUCUAGAGUGUAAAGGCAUAAGGAAGCUUGACUGUGAGACCUACAAGUCGAGCAGGGACGAAAGUCGGUCUUAGUGAUCUGACGGUACUGAGUGGAAAGGCCGUCACUCAACGGAUAAAAGUUACUCUAAGGAUAACAGGCUGAUCUCCCCCAAGAGUUCACAUCGACGGGGAGGUUUGGCACCUCGAUGUCGGCUCAUCGCAUCCUGGGGCGGUAGUACGUCCCAAGGGUUGGGCUGUUCGCCCAUGAAAGCGGUACGCGAGCUGGGUUCAGAACGUCGUGAGACAGUUCGGUCCAUAUCCGGUGUAGGCGCUAGAAUAUUGAGAGGAGCCUUCUUUAGUACGAGAGGACCGAGAAGGACACACCGCUGGUGUACCAGUUAUCGUGCCAACGGUAAACGCUGGGUAGCUAUGUGUGGAGUGGAUAACCGCUGAAAGCAUCUAAGUGGGAAGCCCACCUCGAGAUGAGUAUUCUCAUCA